UCCACCGCUAGACACAACGGUGCACCACGACGUUUAACCUUACAUUCAUUUCCGUAUAUCGGCCAUAUCUUCGCAACCCAGAAACUCAUCCAAGAAAAACUCAAACCAUGCAAUAGCAACUCAACGGUGUGAUACGACAUUGAACAACAACAGAGUCUCUUGCUUCAACUUUGUUUUAGAUGAUUUCGAGUUAGCAAGGCAUUUUUCGAUUGGAUUGCUGUUGGUUUUGAUUUUUUAUGCAGGUAUUGGUUCGGUUAGGAUUCAAAAUGGAAGGCUAAAAAGACCAGAUUCACUCCACUAACGAUAGAGUUUCGAGAGGCAGCAGGCACAUUUCUGAAGGCGAUGUAUUCACUAUCGGCGAUCGUGUUCUGGUGUGUUUUGUGAUUUAAAGUGCAAAUCAAGUGAAAAGAGAUAGAGUCCGCAUAUCCCGAAUCGAAAGCAUGGCAACCAACUACUCGUAAUGAUCUUCUUGGAGCUGUUAAACUGCACCGUUCAACAGGUAUUUUGAGACAUGCUUGACACUCUAUUCCCGCUGCUUGCAAAAAGAACAAGCUAAAUAGCGCUCACGGUUCUGCAUUCGGUAAUAUUUUGAAUCGAAAAUACUGUUACAAAUGGUUUCAUAUUUUGAUUCUAGUUUAGUUAUUGAAUCACGUUUAUAACUCUAAACUCUGUUUCGAUAUAUGAUUGCAUUACGUAUUGGCUUUACUGCAUAAA